rnacentral:rRNA from 1 species
UAAUACGUAGGAUCCGAGCGUUGUCCGGAUUUACUGGGUGUAAAGGGCGUGUAGGUGGAUUCUUAAGUCGGUGGUGAAAUCUUGCAGCUUAACUGCAAAACUGCCAUUGAUACUGGGAAUCUUGAGUGCGGCAGAGGGAAAUGGAAUUCAUGGUGUAGCGGUGAAAUGUGUAGAUAUCAUGAAGAACACCGGUAGCGAAGGCGGUUUCCUGGUCCGUAACUGACACUGAGGCGCGAAAGCGUGGGGAGCAAACAGGAUUAGAUACCCUGGUAGUCCACGCCUUAAACGAUGGGUACUCGGUGCUGGGCCGCAAGGUUCAGUGCCAAAGCUAACGCAUUAAGUACCCCACCUGGGGAGUACGAUCGCAAGGUUG